rnacentral:rRNA from 1 species
UACGUAGGUGGCAAGCGUUGUCCGGAUUUACUGGGCGUAAAGAGCGCGCAGGCGGUCGUUCAAGUCGAGUGUGAAAGCCCCCGGCUCAACUGGGGAGGGUCACUCGAUACUGAUCGACUCGAAGGCAGAAGAGGGAAGCGGAAUUCCCGGUGUAGUGGUGAAAUGCGUAGAUAUCGGGAGGAACACCAGUGGCGAAGGCGGCUCACUGGCCCGAUACUGACGCUGAGGCACGAAAGCGUGGGGAGCAAACAGG